AGAGUUUGAUCCUGGCUCAGAUUGAACGCUGGCGGCAGGCCUAACACAUGCAAGUCGAACGGUAGCACAGAGAGCUUGCUCUUGGGUGACGAGUGGCGGACGGGUGAGUAAUGUCUGGGAAACUGCCCGAUGGAGGGGGAUAACUACUGGAAACGGUAGCUAAUACCGCAUAACGUCGCAAGACCAAAGUGGGGGACCUUCGGGCCUCACACCAUCGGAUGUGCCCAGAUGGGAUUAGCUAGUAGGUGGGGUAAUGGCUCACCUAGGCGACGAUCCCUAGCUGGUCUGAGAGGAUGACCAGCCACACUGGAACUGAGACACGGUCCAGACUCCUACGGGAGGCAGCAGUGGGGAAUAUUGCACAAUGGGCGCAAGCCUGAUGCAGCCAUGCCGCGUGUAUGAAGAAGGCCUUCGGGUUGUAAAGUACUUUCAGCGAGGAGGAAGGCAUUAAGGUUAAUAACCUUAGUGAUUGACGUUACUCGCAGAAGAAGCACCGGCUAACUCCGUGCCAGCAGCCGCGGUAAUACGGAGGGUGCAAGCGUUAAUCGGAAUUACUGGGCGUAAAGCGCACGCAGGCGGUCUGUCAAGUCGGAUGUGAAAUCCCCGGGCUCAACCUGGGAACUGCAUUCGAAACUGGCAGGCUAGAGUCUUGUAGAGGGGGGUAGAAUUCCAGGUGUAGCGGUGAAAUGCGUAGAGAUCUGGAGGAAUACCGGUGGCGAAGGCGGCUCUCUGGUCUGUAACUGACGCUGAGGCUCGAAAGCGUGGGGAGCGAACAGGAUUAGAUACCCUGGUAGUCCACGCCGUAAACGAUGAGUGCUAAGUGUUGGAGGGUUUCCGCCCUUCAGUGCUGCAGCUAACGCAUUAAGCACUCCGCCUGGGGAGUACGACCGCAAGGUUGAAACUUAAAGGAAUUGACGG
rnacentral:rRNA from 1 species